AGUGAACGCUGGCGGUAGGCCUAACACAUGCAAGUCGAACGGCAGCACAGUAAGAGCUUGCCCUUACGGGUGGCGAGUGGCGGACGGGUGAGGAAUACAUCGGAAUCUACUUUUUCGUGGGGGAUAACGUAGGGAAACUUACGCUAAUACCGCAUACGACCUACGGGUGAAAGCAGGGGAUCUUCGGACCUUGCGCGAUUGAAUUAGCCGAUGUCGGAUUAGCUAGUUGGCAGGGUAAAGGCCCACCAAGGCGACGAUCCGUAGCUGAUCUGAGAGGAUGAUAGGCGACAAUGGAAAUGAGAGAAGGUCCAGACUACUACGGGACGAAGCCGAGGGGAAGCGUCAGGAAUGGGCGAAGUCCUGACGGAGCAACGCAGAGGGAGAGAUGAAGGUCUUCGGCUCGCAAAACUUUGUUAUUAGGGAAGAAAAGAUGUGUAGGUAACUGUGCACAUCGGGACGGUACCUAAUCAGAAAGCCACGGCUAACUACGUG
rnacentral:rRNA from 1 species